rnacentral:rRNA from 1 species
GACGAACCGUGCGAACGUUAUUCGGAAUCACUGGGCUUAAAGCGCGUGUAGGCGGGACGGCACGUCGGUCGCUGAAAUCUCCCGGCUCAACUGGGAGGGUGCGCCGGAAACUGGGGUGCUGGAGCGCGGGAGAGGAAAGCGGAAUUCCUGGUGUAGCGGUGAAAUGCGUAGAUAUCAGGAGGAACACCGGCGGUGUAGACGGCUUUCUGGACCGUAGCUGACGCUGAGACACGAAAGCGUGGGUAGCAAACAGG